ensembl:vault_RNA Vault Vault RNA
GCGUUGGUGUAGCUCAGUGGUUACUUCUGAUUGUUGCCAAAUCACACUCUCAGGGCCGCCGGGAAACCGGUGACCGGGGAUCGAACCUCGGGCUCUGUCCAACGUUUUC